rnacentral:tRNA from 1 species
GUCUCCCUAGCUCAGGUGGUAGAGCAACUGACUCUUAAUCAGUGGGUCCUGGGUUCGAGUCCCCGAUGGUGCACCA